CAGCCGCCGCGGGAAAACGUAGGUGGCAAGCGUUGUCCGGAUUUAUUGGGCGUAAAGCGAGCGCAGGCGGUCAGUUAAGUCUGAUGUGAAAGCCCCCGGCUCAACCGGGGAGGGUCAUUGGAAACUGGUUGACUUGAGUGCAGAAGAGGAGAGUGGAAUUCCAUGUGUAGCGGUGAAAUGCGUAGAUAUAUGGAGGAACACCAGUGGCGAAGGCGACUCUCUGGUCUGUAACUGACGCUGAGGCUCGAAAGCGUGGGUAGCAAACAGGAUUAGAUACCCCCGUAGUCCCUGUCUCUUAUAC
rnacentral:rRNA from 1 species